rnacentral:lncRNA from 1 species
GCAGAAGCAGGGACGGAGGGAGCUUUUUCUCACUCUGGUGCCAGUCCCCUGGACUGCACCAAACUGUCCUUUUUAAUUCUUCCCUGCCUGCAUUUUCUUGUCGUAGCACGUUACUGAGGCACAGGCAACCAUGAAACCGAACAGAAGGCGUUCUGACAACACGCUGCGCAGUUUGCACAUGAAGCACGUGGCCCCUCAGGAUUAUACGAGUAACACCUACUGUAGCUGUUACUAGCUAAGGCAAGGCACCCAGCACCAAAAAACACCAAGGAGGGGUGUGUUUGCCUUUGCAGUGCCUUGCCCUGGACCUUGCCCAUGGCCGCCCAGGAACCCUGCGAACUGCCAGACAGCCCAGGUGUCCCACCUGGCCAUUCUGGACCUUGCUGCCCUGUCAGGGGACCGCUGAGGUGCUUUGUCCUUGGCUUUGGGCUGAGCAUUCAGGGAGAAGAGGAGGAGGUACAAGAAGCAAGAGGGUGCUGUCAAGUUGCUGUCAACCUAGAAUACACAGCUCUUGCUCACUCCUCAGUACAUUGAAAAGACUUGAAACAUCUUUUCCUAAUAUCCCCAGUUUACCUAAGCAACCCGUUGCUUCACAGUUAGAGGGUUUCCUUUUCCCACCACAAUGCCGUAAACAUGACGGACCAGCAGAUUUCCUCUGUUCCUCUGGAGAAACUGUCCCUAAGCAGCUUCAGCCACAAAAAGAGACGGAAAUUUUGCAUGUGGACAGCAGGGAGAGAGAGGCUUCUCUGGCCCCACAGCCUGAAAGCACAUAAAGGCUACUGCGGCACCUGACAGCAAUGGCCCAAGCCAACAUAUUGCUGAGUGACUAUUAGCCAGCCUAUGCUGCCUCAGUCAAAGCCCAGCUAUAGGGGAUAUGCUGCUCACUGCCAUGUGUAAAUGUCACCAUAUGGCAUCAUCACGUGGUGUGUAGGCAUCUGCACGGGGCUUCGUUGAGUAGAAAACUUUUCCAGCACCUGAACAGCAGAUUAUCAGGUAGAUAGACCCUGGAUGUAUCUUCUUCAGCUGCACCAUGACAUCAAAUCCUGCCAGCUGGGACUGUCUAGUGACUUUUCCACAUGUUCAGUGCUAAAAUGAAAUGUAAAUGUUGUGAGGGAACAUGGGUUUCUUAUCUGAAGUUAUGGCUAGAAGGCAAAUCUGAUUAAAG